AGCUUCUCCUCCUUCUGUUUCCUUUCCUUAAUCUGCACUGGUCUGAAAUAAUUUCAUUAAAAUGACAAGUAGCUAUUUAAUAGCACCUAAUCAUACGAAAUAUAGACGGGCUAUACAAUACUUACUUGCGUGUAAUCAGCAUCGACAUGAGACUGAUAUGAAUCCAGAACGGUUAUGGGGGUUUGGUUUCACUUAUUUUGUUGGUUUCAGUUCUUGGGCGGGAGGGCGUGUCUUGUAAACAGAGUACAGCUGCGGUUGUGCUGUGCACUGUAGUUGGUGGUGAAGCAGUCUGAAGUAAAAGACAAAUGGCGAGAGGGAGAAGACAAAAUCGAUACAUGAAGAAACUGUUCAUCCUUCGAGGUUUGCCAGGAGUUGGAAAGACAGAGAAGGCAAAAUUCUUCAAGUAGCCACCCUUUUGCCUUGAUCACAGCUUUGCACACUCUUGGCAUUCUCUCAACCAGCUUAAUGAGGUAGUCAACUGGAAUUCUGGCUCUCAUGAAGAGUUACCUCUGCUGCAGAGGAUACGUUCAUUAGAGUUACCAGCCUCAGAAACUGCAGUCCAUAUAAAUGGUUCACGCAGUUCAAGUAACAGACACAUCUCAACAUCAACUGUUCAGAGGAGACUGUGUGAAUCAGGCCGGUAGAAUUGCUGCAACGAAAGCACUACUAAAGGACACCAAUAAGAAGAAUAGACUUGCUUGGGCCAAGAAACAUGAGCAAUGGAAAUCUGUUCUUUGGUCUGAUGAGUCCAAAUUUGCGAUUUUGGGUUCCAACCACCGUGUCUUUGUAAGACACAGAGUAGAUUCAUGGAUGAUCUCUGCAUGUGUGGUUCCCACAAAGCAUGGAGGAGGAGUGCUGGUGACACAGUCUGUGAUUUAUUUACAAUUCAAGGCACACUUAACCAGGAUGGUUGUAAUUUUGAAUAGACUGAAACACUGUAUUUGAAAUAUAUAAAUAUCUAAUGAAAUUAUUUCCUUUUUUGCUUUCCAGAAAACUCUGGGACGAAUAUGCAAGACUUGGACUGAAAGGAGACAUUUUCUCCACUGACAGUUUUUAAAGCCAUGAACAGAGGUGUGGAUCCGAUCAUCGUUGACAACACAAACAUUUCUCUUUGGGUGAUGUGGCCCUAUAUCCACAUGGGGAUUGGACAGAAGAACUAUUACAUCAUAAUGGUGGAACUGCCGAAAGGCAGGGGAUUGGACAGAAUAACUAUUACAUCAUAAUGGUGGAACUGCCUAAAGGCAGGGGAUUGGACAGAAGAACUAUUACAUCAUAAUGGUGGAACUGCCUAAAGGCAGGGGAUUGGACAGAAGAUCUAUUACAUCAUAAUGGUGGAACUGCCUAAAGGCAGGGGAUUGGACAGAAGAACUAUUACAUCAUAAUGGUGGAACUGCCUAAAGGCAGGGGAUUGGACAGAAGAACUAUUACAUCAUAAUGGUGGAACUGCCUAAAGGCAGGGGAUUGGACAGAAGAACUAUUACAUCAUAAUGGAGGAACUGCCUAAAGGCAGGGGAUUGGACAGAAGAACUAUUACAUCAUAAUGGAGGAACUGCCUAAAGGCAGGGGAUUGGACAGAAGAACUAUUACAUCAUAAUGGAGGAACUGCCUAAAGGCAGGGGAUUGGACAGAAGAACUAUUACAUCAUAAUGGUGGAACUGCCUAAAGGCAGGGGAUUGGACAGAAGAACUAUUACAUCAUAAUGGUGGAACUGCCUAAAGGCAGGG